CCUCCCAAGGGUAACGGAGGAGUGCGAAGGUAACCUUAUCACGGGCGGAAAUCGUGAGGAAAGUGCAAUGGCAAAAGGUUGCUUAACUGCGAGAGGUACAUCAAG
rnacentral:rRNA from 1 species